rnacentral:rRNA from 1 species
UACGUAGGGUGCAAGCGUUACUCGGAAUUACUGGGCGUAAAGGGCGCGUAGGCGGGGAGGUAAGUCGGGUGUGAAAUCCCUCGGCCCAACUGAGGAACUGCGCCCGAGACUGCUUCUCUUGAGUCCCGGAGAGGAAGAUGGAAUUCCCGGUGUAGCGGUGAAAUGUGUAGAGAUCGGGAGGAACACCGGUGGCGAAGGCGGUCUUCUGGACGGUGACUGACGCUGAGGCGCGAAAGCGUGGGGAGCAAACGGG